rnacentral:sRNA from 1 species
GUUUAGCCCAGAUUGAAACGGCAUCCUUUUUUCUGUCAGUUCGAGUGAAUUUUGAAGAAUGAAAAAUUUGUAUCGAGAACAGAAGAAAAAAGAUAUAGUGAAAAGCUGGAAAUAGC